rnacentral:tRNA from 1 species
AAAGUUAGUCUAAGCAAGACA